AUGGCGGUUGCUCUCUUGGUCGUCAUGAUGAUGUCCUCUUCGCUGCCAUCUUGUCAUGGAACUGAUGAAGAGGAGGGUUGGGAGUGCCGUCAAUUGCUGCACUGCACUGCUCAAGGGUGCCUCUCUUAUUGCAAAGUUUUAAAACAUGGUGGAGGUCACGCUUACAGUAUCAUGUCCAAAUGCCGUCACAACAGAACAGAGUGCUGCUGCCGAGACUACAAUCAGCCGCCGCCGCCAAGAGAUCUCGUGCUUGUGCAAAACAAUGCUGGUGCAUGA
rnacentral:rRNA from 1 species